GCUCCUUUGGAGGACAGACAUCUCUCUCCAGCCCUCUAAUAUACGGGUCCAGAUGCUGAAUCUCGCACAUGUUGGCGGGGGGGGGGUGGAACUGAGGGGUAAGGAGUCCUGACAGAGACAUUCACAGAACUUUUUGGAAACAGCAAAUGCAUGGACUGAAUCAGUUGACUUUACCGUCCAGGAGAGCUGUUCACACAACCAGUUCAGAAAUACAAAGCUCCCCCCACCCCCGUUACCCAGUAGAUGUGAACAUUCAGGCUAACCAUCAGUUAUGAGGACAACUGCCAGUUGGACCCGCAGAACAGGAACCUCAGGAGCUGAGGGAAGCAGGAUGCCUUGGCUGAAAACCGUGGCAGAGCCUGACAGGACUUAACCCAGUAAAAGAUUUCCCCCCACCAGUCUGGAAUAUGAAGUUACAGCUUCCAAGGCUGCGUCAGUUUCUGGGGCUAGAAACUUGCCUUUAAAAAAAUGAACGCCCUCGUUCUCAGCAUGCCAGUGCAUUCGCUUCACAAAACAGAAAAUUACUCGAGUAACCUGAGUCCUGCUCUUUACAGGACAUGCUGGCAAACCUUAUCCACCAUACUGACUGGCUGCUAGAAAUCGGAACCUCCUA